rnacentral:rRNA from 1 species
UACGUAGGGUGCAAGCGUUGUCCGGAAUUAUUGGGCGUAAAGAGCUCGUAGGCGGUUUGUCGCGUCUUGCUGUGAAAAUCCAGGGCUUAACCCUGGACCUGCAGUGGGUACGGGCAGACUAGAGUGGCGGUAGGGGAGAUCGGAAUUCCUGGUGUAAGCGGUGAAAUGCGCAGAUAUCAGGAGGAACACCGGUGGCGAAGGCGGAUCUCUGGGCCGUAACUGACGCUGGAGGAGCGAAAGCAUGGGGAGCGAACAGGAAUAGA